GUUAGACACCAGUAACCAGUUGGGCUGUGUAGGACAGGAGUUAGACACCAUUAAGAAGGGCUGUGUAGAGCAGAAGCAAUGGGGAUGGUACAGUGGUGGACCCUACUCUGGAUAUCGAGAUACUGUCACACACUUUCAGCUGAGGUGUUAGUGCAGUACAAAUACUUCGUUCCUGGGCAGAGAAAGGACAUCUCUCUACAAGCCCCAGCUGAGCCCAAAGGGACAGAAUUCAUCUGGGAGUGGACACCACAUGAUGGAAGCAAUAAAAGACUCAUAAUGACUAUACAGUCCAAUGGAGACUUUGUGAGGAAUUCAUUGUUUUUUUCUAUUUCAAAGGAAAGCAGGUAUGACAUUCGUCUGGAAUCACAGUCAGACAUUGCAGGGGUUUUUACUUUUAUUCAAACUAAACCAGAGAACGUCAACUUGGCCCAGAUUAAAGUGUCUGCUGUAAAAGUGAAUCAAUCGCCCUUCAUAAUAAAUGAAGGUUAUGAUGUGGCCUUGAGCUGUGAGGUAUCCUACCUUCCAGAUUCAGCUACACUGGCCUGGGAACGGGACAGAGAACCCACUGCUAACACAGCGCUGAUCUACAACAACACUGCUCACAUCAUCAUCCACAGUGCUGAGCAGUACAGUGUGGGAACAUAUAACUGUACACUCCGA